UUGACAGCGUGAGGACCACCACUGCCCUGGCUCUACAGCAGGCCAUCCACAUGGAGACUGACCCCCAGACCAUCAGCGCCUACCUGAUCUACCUGUCCCAGCAUACACCCGUGGAGGAGCAGGGCCCACACAGUGACCUGGCCCUGGACGUGGCCCGGUUG